AUACAAAUCACUUGGGGGUCUUGUUAAAAUGCAGAUUUUUGAGUCAGGAGGUCUGGGGAGGGCUGAGGUUCUACAGUUCUAAGGAGAUGCCAGGUGGUGCCAAU
rnacentral:miRNA from 1 species